rnacentral:rRNA from 1 species
UACGUAGGGGGCUAGCGUUGUCCGGAAUCAUUGGGCGUAAAGCGCGCGUAGGCGGCCCGGUAAGUCCGCUGUAAAAGUCAAAGGCUCAACCUUUGAAUGUCAGUGGAUACUGCCGGGCUAGAGUCCGGAAGAGGCGAGUGGAACUCCUGGUGUAGCGGUGGAAUGCGCAGAUAUCAGGAAGAACACCGACGGCGAAGGCAGCAUCCUGGGAAGUUCCUGACGCUCGGGUGCGAAAGCCAGGGGAGCGAACGGG